UACAGAGACCUCAAGCAUUAUCCGGAUUUAUUGGGCGUAAAGCGUCCGCAGGUGGCUUAGCGUGUCAGGGGUCAAAACCAAGGGCUUAACCCUGGGAUCGCCUCUGAAACUACUAAGCUCAAGGGCGGGAGAGGUAAGCGGAAUUCUCGGUGUAGUCGUAAUAAGCGCUGAUAUCGAGAGGAACACCAAAUGCGAAGGCAGCUUACUGGAACGCACCUGACACUCAUGGACGAAAGCGUGGGGAGCAAACAGG
rnacentral:rRNA from 1 species